GACGAACGCUGGCGGCGUGCUUAACACAUGCAAGUCGAACGGUGACGGAGAGCUUGCUCUCCUGAUCAGUGGCGAACGGGUGAGUAACACGUGGGCAAUCUGCCCCUGACUUCGGGAUAACGCUUCGAAAGUGGUGCUAAUACCGGAUACGAACUCGGCAGGCAUCUGCUGAGUUUGAAAGUUUUUCGGUCAGGGAGGAGCCCGCGGCCUAUCAGCUUGUUGGUGAGGUAGCGGCUCACCAAGGCGACGCCGGGUAGCCGGCCUGAGAGGGCGACCGGCCACACUGGGACUGAGACACGGCCCAGACUCCUACGGGAGGCAGCAGUGGGGAAUAUUGCGCAAUGGGCGAAAGCCUGACGCAGCAACGCCGCGUGAGGGAUGACGGCCUUCGGGUUGUAAACCUCUUUCAGCAGGGAAGAAGCGAAAGUGACGGUACCUGCAGAAGAAGCACCGGCUAACUACGUGCCAGCCGCCGCAGUAA
rnacentral:rRNA from 1 species